rnacentral:rRNA from 1 species
GACGAACGCUGGCGGCGUGCUUAACACAUGCAAGUCGAGCGGUAAGGCCCUUUCGGGGGUACACGAGCGGCGAACGGGUGAGUAACACGUGGGUGACCUGCCCUCAGCUCUGGGAUAAGCCUGGGAAACCGGGUCUAAUACUGGAUAUGACUCCAUGACGCAUGUUGUGGGGUGGAAAGCCUUGUGCGGCUGAGGAUGGGCCCGCGGCCUAUCAGCUUGUUGGUGGGGUGANGGCCUACCAAGGCGACGACGGGUAGCCGGCCUGAGAGGGCGACCGGCCGCACUGGGACUGAGACACGGCCCAGACUCCUACGGGAGGCAGCAGUGGGGAAUCUUGCGCAAUGGGCGAAAGCCUGACGCAGCGACGCCGCGUGAGGGAUGACGGCCU